rnacentral:rRNA from 1 species
UAGGGAAUAUUGCGCAAUGGGGGAAACCCUGACGCAGCGACGCCGCGUGAGCGAUGAAGGCCUUCGGGUCGUAAAGCUCUGUCGUAUGGGAAUAAUUUUUGAAUGUACCAUAUAAGAAAGGAUCGGCUAACUUCGUGCCAGCAGCCGCGGUAAGACGAGGGAUCCUAGCGUUGUUCGGAAUCAUUGGGCGUAAAGCGGGUGUAGGUUGCUUUUUAAGUCAGGUGUGAAAGCCUAGGGCUCAACCCUAGAAGUGCAUCUGAUACUAUUAAGCUUGAGUGUGGAAGAGGCUAUUAGAAUUCCUGGUGUAGUGGUGAAAUACGUAGAUAUCAGGAGGAAUACCAGUUGCGAAGGCGGAUAGCUGGUCCAACACUGACACUAAGACCCGAAAGCGUGGGGAUCAAACA